UCUUCUUCCUAAUUCAGUUUCUUCUUUUUCAUUUCAAUGUCCGAAACAACUCUCCAUCAAACCUAAUCUCUUCUUUUUCAUUUUCAAUGCUUGAAACAACUCUCCCGUGAAUAACAAAUCAAACCUAAUCUUUCUCAAUGAAAUUUGAAUCCCAAACAUAAAUCUGAGAAUCAAACAAACAAUCGGUUCAAUUUGAUUCAACUUGAAAACCUAAAUCGUUUUCAUCGGUACCUUCGUUGACGAUUAAUCAAUCCAGGGGAAAACUAGAUGAGAUUCAAAUUAAAUUAUUGAAGAGCUCAUCCUUGAAAGCGACUGGAAACAUAAGUGUAAUCUAUUCUUAUCACUUGAAUUUGAUCGCAGCUGUUAAUUUAUCGAUUCGGAAUCGAUUUCAGAAAAAAAAAAUUACGAUUUGAAAAACCUAAUUAAUUUGAUUUCAAUUUAAGUUUCUCAUUCAAUCCAUGAGUGUAGAUACAUAUCGUUUUUUGGGAAAAUGUUGCUUAUGUUUGUUUAUUUUAAUCAGAUUUUAUUAGUAAAUUUUCUUCUGUUCACCAUCCUCAAAAACCAUCGCUCCUUUAUUGGAGAAUUCAAAGAUAGAAAAAGAGUUAUAUGUCAGUGUGAUCACUGUAGAGCUCAUUGAAUUACUGCAAAUGUUUUACAUGUUAUUUUUAUUUUGGUUUAUUGUUGAAACGGUUCAAUGUGAAUAUAUUGAAAUGCUUAAUGAUUUCUGAGAUAAUCCGUUGAUUAGAACAGAACUCAAAAUGCAUUAAACUGCUUAGUGAAUUUUCGUCAUUAUUGAAUAGGAUCAUUGUGUUACAUUGUGCUUAAUGAAUUCUGAGAUGAUAUAUUGAUCAGAGAAGAACUCAUAAUACAUUUGCUGGCCCAUAGUUCACGAUUCCUAUUUAGGCACUAAGGAGGGAACUCGAAACACGGAGCACCAUACAUUUUUAAUUUGUGUAACCUUUCAUUUCUUCAGUCUCUCCCCUUUCUGGUUUAAUAGAAUAUGUAUUAUUAGAAAUGCUGCGUAUAAAGGUUUGUCACAAGCUUUACUAAUCAUCUUAAAUAAUGUUUUCCUGUCAGAGGGUGACCGACAUGGCAUCCUUUGCGGAAGAUGUGCAUCUUUUGGCAAGUGCAAGCAUAGACGGAAGGGUUUUUGUAUGGGAGAUUAAGGAAGGCACUAAUGAAAAACAUAAGCCACGAAUAACAUGGGAAAUGGUCACUGCCAUCCAGAUAAUGGGCGAGGGGAAUUAGUUCAUCCACGAGUUUGCUGGCACUCCCAUAAACAAGUAAUGUCAUUCCUUUAGAACCUAAUUAUGUAUUCCUGAAACUGCAAUGGUGUUUCGAAAUCUUCUUUUCAAGAUUGGGGAUCUUUUAACAAAAUGCUCUACUGCCUACUUUAGCUAGGAAGUUUUGAGUAUUUGCUUUUGAUUUAGUAUAAAUAAUACUAGUGAUUGGUAGUUCUACGUUGCCUUAUAGCAGGAGUGCAAGUCUUAUAUCAAAGUUGUUUGGUUGAAUGCUUCAAUGAGCUGUCCGUCGAACUGCAUCAGGUGAAGAUUUCGUUACAUACGCAAAAGUGGUAGUUAAUGCUGCUGGACCAUUAUGUGAUUCGGUAAGGAAAAUGGUCGACAAAGAUGCACCAACUAUGAUCUGUCCCAGCAGUGGUGUACAUAUUGGUGCACCUAUACGUAAUGCAAGUGUACAUAUUGGUGCACCUGUACGCAGUGCAAGUGUACAUAUUGGUGCACCUGUACGUAAUCCAAGUUUACAUUUUUGUAUCUUAGUUCGGAAUUGAGAUUGAGGGCUAUAGCUAGAAAAGGGAUUGGGAAAGAUCAUGCUAAUAGGUCACCCACGACUAUUAUUACAUUCACGUAUAUAUGAACCAGACGUCCACAUUAAUGAGGAUGUGAUGGCAAACUUAACUCUUGAAGAAAACAAAGUUGGGUUGAAAGUAGCCCCACCGAAGUUUUUGAUAUUGAUCCCAAUACCCAACAGGUGUCCCAUGUACUAUCACUUUAAGCUUGCAUUUCUAGUGUGGCUCCAACUUCUAUAUUUUGAUGUGAGUAAAACCUAGCUCUUGGGUGACUAUUUUCCUUUUUUACAUUUAGGUUUGUGUUAAUAAAUCUCUAUGUUUGACAUCAACAUCAGUUAUGUUCGUAAACUAACACAUUAACAUCAACUUCUUUUAAAACUCUUUGUUACUUGUCCUGAAGCUUUUUACUUUUUAGCCCUUCAAAUUAUUAUUAUUAAAUUUUGGAUGUUUUAAUAUGUCCGCAUUAACAUCAGCUGUAAGUUCUCUUUGACCACCAAUGAUAGUUGGGAGAGACAUGGAAAGAUAGGAUGAUUUGGGUAUAUAUGUUUUGGAUAGAUGUGUAGACAAUAUGUUUACAUAGUUGUACACCUAUUGAUUAUUAAUGUGUACAUAAUCGUACACAUGUUAAUUGUUAAUGUGUACAUAGUCGGAAACAUGCUUCUUACUAUACAAGAAUCUUUUAUUUUAGAUUUAAUUGUUAUUUUAUGUUUACAUCUUUAAUAUGAUUUGUGAUGUUAACUCAUGGGGAGAUAUGGACAGACCGGAUCAUUUUGUAGGCGUGUAUAUAAUUGUACAAGAUGAUAAAGAUGAGUUCCCAACUUAUGCUGCUAUGCUUGCAGCCCAAGAUGAUGCAACAUGGUGCUAGGGGUGUACACAUUGCUGUACCUGUAUAAUUCCCAUGAAAAAGUGUGUCCGAGUGUGUAUAUAAAUGAUUAAUUUUAUGCAUGUUUUGCAGAGGUGUACACAUUGGUGCACCAUUGUAUUUUUAAUGGAAAAGUAGAUUUGUUUGUUGCUAUGAAGUAUCGGUUUUAGGAAUGUUUCACAUGGAUGAAUAUAUUGAUGUACCAAUAUACUUCUCAUGAAAUAGUAGAUCUGGCUGUGAGUAUGAUUGAUUUGUUGUGCAUGUCAGUAAUCUCUUUUUCGGUAAAGUGCAAUGAAUUACUGUACUGGGAUGUUUCGAAGCCAUAUUAAUUUUGUAUAGUAAUGCCCACAUGGAUUGUGUCUCUGACCAUAAACUGACUAACUUUUUAUUUUGAUCGUUUUCUUGAUUUGUUUUCUUAUGUGGAUGUUUGUGAAAGGAUAAUCACUUUCUUUUUAAGCUGUGAUUUCUUGUAUUCAUUGUCUUGUCCUCGAUGCAAGUUAUCUGCUAAACUUACCUCUGCAAAUCUGGAUGUUAUUCAACUAGAGCUUGGCGUGGUUGGUAUUUUUCUCAAUCUGUGUGGACUAGGGUGGCAGUCUGGCUAUCAUGAAUUUUGGAUUUUUUUUUGGAUCUUUUCAGCUGUGUACAUAAUUGUACACACAAAUGUAAAUUAAAAUUUUGAAAAAAUGAAAAUUAUAUAGUCAUAUGGAUACUCUUUUUGUAGCUCUCG